rnacentral:ncRNA from 1 species
UUGCUGAUAUUUCUUAGUCAUUCCCUCCACCAUACAGCAAUGCCCAGACACGAGGUCUGGGCAAGCGACAACUGAGCCACGAUGGCGAAUUUGGAGCGGUGCGUCCGGCACCAUAACUCCACCGGGAAUGACUUAGUAAUAUCCAAUUAU